AGAGUUUGAUCCUGGCUCAGAACGAACGCUGGCGGCAUGCCUAACACAUGCAAGUCGAACGCCUGUAGCAGUACAGGAGUGGCGCACGGGUGAGUAACGCGUGGGAACCUACCCUGGAGUGGGGGAUAACCGAGAGAAAUUUCGGCUAAUACCGCAUACGUCCUGAGGGAGAAAGAUUUAUCGCUCUAGGAGGGGCCCGCGUCGGAUUAGCUAGUUGGUGGGGUAACGGCCUACCAAGGCAGCGAUCCGUAGCUGGUCUGAGAGGAUGAUCAGCCACACUGGGACUGAGACACGGCCCAGACUCCUACGGGAGGCAGCAGUGGGGAAUAUUGGACAAUGGGCGCAAGCCUGAUCCAGCAAUGCCGCGUGAGUGAUGAAGGCCUUAGGGUUGUAAAGCUCUUUCGCCCGCGACGAUGAUGACGGUAGCGGGAGAAGAAGCCCCGGCUAACUUCGUGCCAGCAGCCGCGGUAAUACGAAGGGGGCGAGCGUUGUUCGGAUUUACUGGGCGUAAAGGGCGCGUAGGCGGCGCCGGAAGUCGCGUGUGAAAGCCCCGGGCUCAACCUGGGAGGUGCGCGCGAGACUGUGGUGCUGGAGUUCGGGAGAGGAGCGUGGAAUUCCCAGUGUAGAGGUGAAAUUCGUAGAUAUUGGGAAGAACACCGGUGGCGAAGGCGGCGCUCUGGACCGAGACUGACGCUGAGGCGCGAAGGCGUGGGGAGCAAACAGGAUUAGAUACCCCCGUAGUCC
rnacentral:rRNA from 1 species